AAUCAACGCUGGCGGCGUGCCUCAGACAUGCAAGUCGAACGCGAAAGGUUCCUUCGGGGACCGAGUAGAGUGGCGCACGGGUGAGUAACACGUAGGUAAUUUGCCUUUGGGUGGGGAAUAACUCAGGGAAACUUGAGCUAAUACCGCAUAAUGCAGCGGCUCGACAUCGAGACAGUUGUUAAAGCGGGGGAUUCGCAAGAACCUCGCGCCUAAAGAGAAGCCUGCGGCAGAUAGCUAGUUGGUAAGGUAAUGGCUUACCUAAGGCGACGAUCUGUAACCGGCCUGAGAGGGCGGUCGGUCACACUGACACUGACAUACGGGUCAGACUCCUACGGGAGGCAGCAGUCGGGAAUUUUGGGC
rnacentral:rRNA from 1 species